AUUGAACGCUGGCGGCAGGCCUAACACAUGCAAGUCGAGCGGAUGAAGGGAGCUUGCUCCUGGAUUCAGCGGCGGACGGGUGAGUAAUGCCUAGGAAUCUGCCUGGUAGUGGGGGAUAACGUCCGGAAACGGGCGCUAAUACCGCAUACGUCCUGAGGGAGAAAGUGGGGGAUCUUCGGACCUCACGCUAUCAGAUGAGCCUAGGUCGGAUUAGCUAGUUGGUGGGGUAAAGGCCUACCAAGGCGACGAUCCGUAACUGGUCUGAGAGGAUGAUCAGUCACACGGGAAGUGAGACAGGGCCCAGCCUCCUAGGGGGGGAGGCGGGGGGGAAUAUGGGAAAAGGGGCGAAAGCUUGACCCAGCAUGGCGGGGUGGGGAAGGAGGUUCUUCGAAUGGAAAACCUUUUUAGGUGGGGGGAAAGGGAAGUAAGUAAAUCCUUUGUUGUUUGGACGUACCAAAAAAAAAAAGCCCCGGCUACCUUGGUC
rnacentral:rRNA from 1 species